CCUACGGGCGGCAGCAGUGGGGAAUAUUGGGCAAUGGGCGCAAGCCUGACCCAGCAACGCCGCGUGAAGGAAGAAGGAAUUCGGGUUGUAAACUUCUUUUCUCAGGGACGAAGCAAGUGACGGUACCUGAGGAAUAAGCCACGGCUAACUACUUGCCAGCAGCCGCGGUAAUACGUAGGUGGCAAGAGUUAUCCGGAUUUACUGGGUGGAAAGGGCGUGUAGGCGGGGACGCAAGUCAGAUGUGAAAACCACGGGCUCAACCUUUGGCCUGCAUUUGAAAAUGUGUUUCUUGAGUACUGGAGAGGCAGACGGAAGUCCUAGUGUAGCGGUGAAAUGCGUAGAUAUUAGGAGGAACACCAGUGGCGAAGGCGGUCUGCUGGACAGCAACUGACGCUGAGGCGCGAAAGCGUGGGGAGCAAACAGGAUUAGAUACCCCUGUAGUC
rnacentral:rRNA from 1 species